rnacentral:rRNA from 1 species
AGGGAAUCUUCCGCAAUGGACGAAAGUCUGACGGAGCAACGCCGCGUGAGCGAUGAAGGCCUUCGGGUCGUAAAGCUCUGUUGUUAGGGAAGAACAAGUAUCGGAGUAACUGCCGGUACCUUGACGGUACCUAACCAGAAAGCCACGGCUAACUACGUGCCAGCAGCCGCGGUAAUACGUAGGUGGCAAGCGUUGUCCGGAAUUAUUGGGCGUAAAGCGCGCGCAGGCGGUCUCUUAAGUCUGAUGUGAAAGCCCACGGCUCAACCGUGGAGGGUCAUUGGAAACUGGGGGACUUGAGUGCAGAAGAGGAAAGCGGAAUUCCACGUGUAGCGGUGAAAUGCGUAGAGAUGUGGAGGAACACCAGUGGCGAAGGCGGCUUUCUGGUCUGUAACUGACGUUGAGGCGCGAAAGCGUGGGGAGCAAAC